AAUGAACGCUGGCGGCAGGCCUAACACAUGCAAGUCGAACGGAUCCUUCGGGAUUAGUGGCGGACGGGUGAGUAACGCGUGGGAACAUACCCUUUGGUACGGAAUAGCCUCGGGAAACUGGGAGUAAUACCGUAUGUGGUCGAGAGACGAAAGAUUUAUCGCCAAAGGAUUGGCCCGCGUUGGAUUAGGUAGUUGGUGGGGUAAUGGCCUACCAAGCCGACGAUCGAUAGCUGGGUUGAGAGGAUGAUCAGACACACUGGGACUGAGACACGGCCCGGACUCCUACGGGAGGCAGCAGUGGGGAAUCUUAGACGAUGGGGGAAACCCUGAUCUAGCCAUGCCGCGUGAUCGAUGAAGGCCUUAGGGUUGUAAAGAUCUUUCAGGUGGGAAGAUAAUGACUGUACCACCAGAAGAAGCCCCGGCUAACUCCGUGCCAGCAGCCGCAGUAA
rnacentral:rRNA from 1 species